GAGGCGCCGUCUGGCUCAGGCUGGGGCCAGCGGGAGCGCGAACGAGCGACGGCGGUACCCGUGGGCCUGUGGACUGCAGCCUCGGCGGUCACCAGUUUUUCAGUUUCCAAGAUGGAAUAGUUAUAGUGCAUAUCUUCCUCAUGGUUGUGAGGAGUGCAUGACACAUAGCGAGUGCUCAGUGAACGGUCAUUUUUCUGAGUGCUUGUGAUUUCACGUAUUUUUGCUGAACUCGUAAAAGAGACACUUGGAUGGUGGAUUAACCAGAACACUAACAUUCUUUGAAAAGUUUCAAAUUGGAGAAUAUUGAAUUUUCACCCUAGUCCAGCAGCUCCGCUGCUCACUUAAAUACAGAUGAAUGAAGACCCCAUUCGGAAAGACACCUGGCCAGCGGUCCAGAGCUGAUGCAGGCCAUGCUGGAGUAUCUGCCAACAUGAUGAAGAAGAGGACAUCCCACAAAAAACAUCGGAGCAGUGUGGGUCCGAGCAAACCUGUUUCCCAGCCCCGGCGGAACAUCGUAGGCUGCAGGAUUCAGCAUGGGUGGAAAGAGGGGAAUGGCCCUGUUACCCAGUGGAAAGGAACCGUUCUGGACCAGGUGCCUG
rnacentral:sRNA from 1 species